GUCUUUGAAAGAUAUUCCCGAGAAGUUCGCUAAAGGAGAAGUGAGGUGAAAACAAAAGUGCCAAUGAAGAUCAAGUUGAUGUAAAACAGAAAGCAGCCAUGUCGUUAAGAGAGUUAAAAGUUUGUCUUCUUGGGGAUACCGGUGUUGGCAAGUCAAGUAUCGUGUGGAGAUUUGUGGAGGACAGCUUUGAUCCAAACAUCAACCCAACUAUUGGGGCAUCUUUUAUGACCAAGACGGUACAACACCAAAACGAGCUACACAAGUUCCUCAUUUGGGACACGGCGGGACAGGAGCGGUUCCGGGCUCUGGCACCAAUGUACUACAGAGGCUCUGCAGCCGCCAUCAUUGUUUAUGACAUCACAAAAGAGGAGUCCUUCCAAACGUUGAAGAACUGGGUGAAGGAGCUCCGUCAGCACGGCCCUCCCAAUAUCGUGGUGGCCGUUGCCGGAAACAAAUGCGAUCUGUCGGACGCCAGGGAAGUCUUAGAAAAGGACGCCAAGGACUACGCCGAAUCCAUCCAUGCCAUAUUUGUCGAAACCAGUGCCAAAAACGCCAUCAACAUCAAUGAAGUUUUUAUAGAGAUAAGUAGGCGCAUCCCAGUCGUAGAUGCGUCCGGGGGAACGUCGGCAAAAGGUUUCAAACUGGGGCGGCAAGAGUCAGAGUCUCGCAGGACGUGCUGCUGAUGACGACGACGACCACGACCACGCUUGGCUGGCUCCAGCUCAUCCACAAUACAAAUGAGGACAAGUGUUAGAAUAUACAAAUGAAGGGACGUAAGUGGUUUUCUUUUAACUGCUUGCUGGCUGCAUCGAGACAGUGUUUCCCAUAUUUGAACUCUAUUCCAGAAUGUACAUAGACAAAGUAAAGCCUUCUGAUGCGCUUUAUUUGAAUGGUUUAACGUCAAAAUAGCAUAUCUGCGCUCAAUUGUGGGCAGUUUGAUUGUGAAAUUGCGAUUGCGACAGCUAAUUAAUUCCACUGUUGCCGUAAAAUAGUCUUGGGCUGGCCCUGGGAACACGAAUGGCCAGUGUUAUGUAUAGUUUACAUCAUAUGACUUUGCAUUGCACAAAAUCCAACGACUGUUCUGUAUUCAAACAGUUUAGUGACAAUGCAUUUUAAAUUAUAUCGGCACUUUGGUAACAAUAUUCAACUUUGGAUUGUUUCAUAUUGUCUAAAUGGUUGUUAAAAAAUGUUAGCAGUGUAUUUCCAAGUGUGUACUAAGGGAAUUGUCAAAUUCUUUAUAAUUAAAAGACUGAAAAAAUGUG